GCCAGGGUGUCCAAAUAUCUUGGUAAAAGCGUUGAAUGAUAUGCUGUCCUUAAAAGUUUUAUUAGUCCUAAAGACACCAGGAAAUAAUUUCAAAUAGGACAGUGACAUCAAAUUUAUCUUUUAGGAUAAUCACUGGAAUAUGAUGAGAUGAAAUACGGAUUUCUUUUUCCAAGAUUUUUUAAUUGGCUCUUCAUUGAAAGAAGAUAGGACAGUUCAUGGUUAUAAAAUAAUUGUUUCUUAUAUGGGCUAGUUCCUGAAAAUUCUUCA
rnacentral:lncRNA from 1 species